UGUUUAGAGGAGGAGGAAAAGCAGCUUCAUAAAAUCCAAAUUCCUGGUUGAAGUUUUCACAUUUUGGACAUAAACAGCAACUUCUCUUCGGAAAGACGAUGAAGCAUCAGAUCUGUCUCUCACUCCUGCUCACAGCUCUGCUGGUCUGUGGAUCACCAGAGGAAAUUUGUCAGGGAAACAGCUGCACUACUGAUGGAUGCCCCUGGACUUUGAACAUUAGCUGCAACAACCUGAUUAAUGCCUGGCAGCUUCAAUGUAGAAGAGAUCAUUUUAAUCUGUCCUUCAGCUGUGUAAACAAACCUCAUCGAUACGUCUUUCAAUGCCAUGUCCCCCUUCCAGAAACUCUCAUAUUGAACAGGAAUGGCCAAAAUUAUUGCAGCAGCAGCAGCAGCAAUACCAACAACGGCAACAACGGC